ensembl:lncRNA
AUGCAAAAACUGUAAUCCCCUAAGUACCAUUACGUUUUUUUUCUUAUUUUUAAUAGUAUUGACAACAUAUUUCUCAAGUUAUCACACAUAAAGUGAAGAAAAGAAACUAUAUUACUAACCUAUUUUCAUAUCUAUUUUCACCUUGACUUAAACCACAUUGUUUCUUUUACCUUCUGUGUUGUUGCCUACAACACUUCAGUUAGAGGACUGGGAAAUAGCAAACAGGGGAAAAAGGCAUGACUUAUUUUGCAUACAGCUAGCCAAACCUGUUUAAACUGUUGUCAUAGCCAAGGCUUUUUAUUGGAACAGAAAACAGCAAGGGUCCAUAGAAAAAUACUGUUGGAAGUUUUUUUUUUUUCCACCAAGGCAGCUCAAGGAGGUUGGACACACAAGUACAGUGGCUCUUUUGGGCCAAGCCAACAUCAAAGUUAGUUCACUAACUUUACAUUCUAGUUAUGUUGGCUUGGCAACAAGCCAACAUACUGUUAUGCUAUUUAAACUUAUUUUUAUUUUUAUUUUUAUUUUUAUUAUUCUUCUGAGACAGAAUUCCAAACGUAUCUCCUCCUAGGGCUUUUAAGCUACAAGCCCCAAACUCGGCAGACACCUGCGGGAUAUAGCGGUGCUGGUUGCUAUAUCUUUUUAGACUGAUCAGACUUACAGUUUAUUUAUUAUUAAUUUUUAAAAGUCAGAAAUCUCCCAUAGACUCCCAUUAUCUGAGAAAAAUUGCGCCUCUACAGGAGCAAUUCCCGGGACUGAGGGAGGAGUCUGCCUUAGUUUCACUUUUAAGUCGGUUAAAAAUACAUAUAAAUACAUGAAUUUAUUUCACUCUGACAAGCUAAACCAACAUAUUUGAAUAUUAUAGGGGUCAGGGCUUAUUAAAAAUUUAUAUCUGGCCACAGAACAGAGAGAAAGACGAGAGAGAAUUCACCGCUCCGUUCAGCGAGUGGUCUCACAGCGGGCUCACAACAAACGAAUUUAUUCUUGUUUAAGACCUUUUAAAAAUAAAAUAUUACAGCGAUUGCACACAAUCCACCCAUUAGAACAAACCAAGAGCUAAAAGAGGGUGUUUUUGAGCUGUUGACGUUUGAAAAUGAACGAUUUGCGUCAGCUCUUUUGACAGCGCGAGACGGCACGGCUUCUCGUGCAGUGACACAACGAGCUCGCAAGAAACGAAUUUAUUCUUGUUUAAGACCUUUUAAAAAUAAAAUAUUACAGCGAUUGCACACAAUCCACCCAUUAGAACAAACCAAGAGCUAAAAGUGGGUGUUUUUCAGCUGUUGAAGUUUGAAAAUGAAGGAUUUGCGUCAGCUCUUUUGACAGCGCGAGACGGCGCGGCUUCUCCUGCUCUCGCACUACGAGCUCACAAGAAACGAAUUUAUUCUUGUUUAAGACCUUAUAAAAAUAAAAUAUUACAGCGAUUGCACACAAUCCACCCAUUAGAACAAACCAAGAGCUAAAAGUGGGUGUUUUUCAGCUGUUGAAGUUUGAAAAUGAACGAUUUGCGUCAGCUCUUUUGACAGCGCGAGACGGCGCGGCUUCUCGUGCAAUGACACAACGAGCUCACAAGAAACGAAUUUAUUCUUGUUUAAGACCUUAUAAAAAUAAAAUAUUACAGCGAUUGCACACAAUCCACCCAUUAGAACAAACCAAGAGCUAAAAGUGGGUGUUUUUCAGCUGUUGAAGUUUGAAAAUGAACGAUUUGCGUAAGCUCUUUUGACAGCGCGAGACGGCGCGGCUUCUCCUGCACUCGCACUACGAGCUCACAAGAAACGAAUUUAUUCUUGUUUAAGACCUUAUAAAAAUAAAAUAUUACAGCGAUUGCACACAAUCCACCCAUUAGAACAAACCAAGAGCUAAAAGUGGGUGUUUUUCAGCUGCUGAAGUUUGAAAAUGAACGAUUUGCGUCAGUUCUUUUGACAGCGCGAGACGGCGCGGCUUCUCGUGCAAUGACACAACGAGCUCGCAAGAAACGAAUUUAUUCUUGUUUAAGACCUUUUAAAAAUAAAAUAUUACAGCGAUUGCACACAAUCCACCCAUUAGAACAAACCAAGAGCUAAAAGUGGGUGUUUUUCAGCUGUUGAAGUUUGAAAAUGAAGGAUUUGCGUCAGCUCUUUUGACAGCGCGAGACGGCGCGGCUUCUCCUGCUCUCGCACUACGAGCUCACAAGAAACGAAUUUAUUCUUGUUUAAGACCUUAUAAAAAUAAAAUAUUACAGCGAUUGCACACAAUCCACCCAUUAGAACAAACCAAGAGCUAAAAAGUGGGUGUUUUUUUCAGCUGUUGAAGUUUGAAAAUGAACGAUUUGCGUCAGCUCUUUUGACAGCGCGAGACGGCGCGGCUUCUCGUGCAAUGACACAACGAGCUCACAAGAAACGAAUUUAUUCUUGUUUAAGACCUUAUAAAAAUAAAAUAUUACAGCGAUUGCACACAAUCCACCCAUUAGAACAAACCAAGAGCUAAAAGUGGGUGUUUU